GUGCUUCAGGGAUGAACAUGUCCCGAACAUUCAUCCAUCCGUUUCACUUUGUCAGCUGUCUCUUCUUUUGUCUUGCUGAUCAUUUUAGGAUGGUACAUCC